GUUACGCGAACCAAAUCCCUUACAACUAAGGCUGUAGAUAGAAAGCCCUUUAAAAUAACUAGAAAAAUGAGUCAUCUUUCCAAAACUAGACCACCAAUUCGUGUCUUCUUUUUAUUUUGUAGAAAUGAUGCGAUGGAGACCUUCUGUUGAACGUACCGAAAGACUUGAGGUCGAAGACCAUCUGACCAGGAUCGAGUUUACUGAACUCUUUCGAGCUAUCCAAGG
rnacentral:lncRNA from 1 species